AUUUGCUUUAUUUAUAGUAAACACUCACAUUUUUUGAAUAAAAGAAGGAAAAGUACCGAACAGGAAGGGGCAGUUGGUAUUUUGUUAAAAAAAAUAUACAUUUAUAUUUAAGAAAAAUAUUGCCAUGGAAAAGCCACCGAGUUACGAAGCUGCCAUGGCAGAAAGUAAUAGAAGGCGUUCAGCUCCUGCAAUGACUUCGCAAGUACCAAUUACUCCUCCCAUACUUUCCGAAGUAUCUACUACUUCCAUUGUACUUUCUGAAGCUCCUACGUCUCAACCAGUACUUUCUGAAGUACCUACGACUCUUUCCGUAAUUCCAGAAGUACCUAAAAAUCCUCCAGUACAUUCUUAGCCAACUUUCGGAAACUUAACAGAUGAAACAAUAAGAAAAGUGUGCUACGAUUUCACUGCAAAAAACAACGAAAAUGGAACAAGAGUAAGGGCAUGCCAGCAUAAGACACACAAUCCAAUCAAAACCAAUGCUCUUGCUAAGUCAUGUAGUUGUUUCAUUUUCAAAAGCGAAUGUUCUAGUAAGACUAUGAAACCGCAACAUUUUUUUUAAAAACAAUUAUAUGAUAUCUAUCGUAAAUGAUAGGAGGAAUUCAAUUUCUGUCAGACGUGUUUAACUUUUGAAAGUUUUUAUAUGGUUUUGAGAGCAUAUUUGUAUAAUUUGAUAACGAAAUAAACCGGAGAUCUUUGCAAAA